UAGCUCCAGCCUUGGCAGCACAUAUACUAAAAUUGGAACGAUACAGAGAAGAUUAGCAUGACCCGUGCACAAGGAUGACACUCAAAUACAAUAACAUCUGUCUU